rnacentral:rRNA from 1 species
UACGUAGGGUGCGAGCGUUAAUCGGAAUUACUGGGCGUAAAGCGUGCGCAGGCGGUUCGUUGUGUCGGCGGUGAAAGCCCCGGGCUCAACCUGGGAAUGGCCGUUGAAACUGGCGAACUGGAGUGUGGCAGAGGGGGGUGGAAUUCCGGCGUGUAGCAGUGAAAUGCGUAGAGAAUGUGGAGGAACACCGAUGGCGAAGGCAGCCCCCUGGGUCAAGAUUGACGCUCGAUGCACGAAAGCGUGGGGAGCGAAACAGG